GGGCCAAGUGAGCUUUUCUCAUCACUUGGCGUCCGUCGUCCGGCGUCGUCGGCGUUAACUUUUUACAUUUUGAACUUCUUCUAGAGAACCACUGAAUGGAAUGAAACCAAACAUGGCAUGAAUGUUCCUUAUGAGGUGCUGACCAAGUGUUGUUACUUUGUAGCCGAUCCAUCAUCCAAGAUGGCCGCCAGCGGGGGACUAAGUUUAACAUAGGACCCUAUGGGAAAUGCAUACAAAUGACUUCUUUUAGAGAACCACUGAAUGGAAUAAAACAUAACAUGGCAUGAAUGUUCCUUAUGAGGUGCUGACCAAGUGUUGUUACUUUGUAGCCGAUCCAUCAUCCAAGAUGGCCGCCAGCGGGGGACUUAGUUUAACAUAGGACCCUAUGGGAAAUACAUAAAAAUGUCUUCUUUUAGAGAACCACUGAAUGGAAUGGAACCAAACAUGGCAUGAAUGUUCCGUAUGAGAUGCUGACCAAGUGUUGUUACUUUGCAGUCGGUCCAUCAUCCAAGAUGGCCGCCAGCGGGGGACUUAGUGUAACAUAGGACCCUAUGGGAAAUACAUACAAAUGUCUUCUUUUAGAGAACCACUGAAUGGAAUGAAACCAAACAUGGCAUGAAUGUUCCUUAUGAGGUGCUGACCAAGUGUUGUUACUUUGUAGCCGAUCCAUCAUCCAAGAUGGCCGCCAGCGGGGGACUUAGUUUAACAUAGGACCCUAUGGGAAAUGCAUACAAAUGACUUCUUUUAGAGAACCACUGAAUGGAAUAAAACCAAACAUGGCAUGAAUGUUCCUUAUGAGGUGUUGACCAUGUGUUGUUACUUUGUAGCCGAUCCAUCAUCCAAGAUGGCCACCAUCGGGGAACUUAGUUUAACAUAGGACCCUAUGGGAAAUACAUACAAAUGUCUUCUUUUAGAGAACCACUGAAUGGAAUGAAACCAAACAUGGCAUGAAUGUUCCUUAUGAGGUGCUGACCAAGUGUUGUUACUUUGUAGCCGAUCCAUCAUCCAAGAUGGCUGCCAGCGGGGGACUUAGUUUAACAUAGGACCCUAUGGGAAAUACAUAAAAAUGUCUUCUUUUAGAGAACCACUGAAUGGAAUGGAACCAAACAUGGCAUGAAUGUUCCGUAUGAGAUGCUGACCAAGUGUUGUUACUUUGCAGUCGGUCCAUCAUCCAAGAUGGCCGCCAGCGGGGGACUUAGUUUAACAUAGGACCCUAUGGGAAAUACAUACAAAUGUCUUCUUUUAGAGAACCACUGAAUGGAAUGAAACCAAACAUGGCAUGAAUGUUCCUUAUGAGGUUCUGACCAAGUGUUGUUACUUUGUAGCUGAUCCAUCAUCCAAGAUGGCCGCCAGCGGGGGACUUAGUUGAACAUAGGACCCUAUGGGAAAUACAUACAAAUGUCUUCUUUUAGAGAACCAAUAAAUGGAAUGGAACCAAACAUGGCAUGAAUGUUCCUUAUGAGAUGUUGACCAAGUGUUGUUACUUUGCAGCCGAUCCAUCAUCCAAGAUGGCCGACAGCGGGGGACUUAGUUUAACAUAGGACCCUAUGGGAAAUACAUACAAUUGUCUUCUUUUAGAGAACCACUGAAUGGAAUUGAACCAAACAUGGCAUGAAUGUUCCUUAUGAAGUGCUGACCAAGUGUUGCUACUUUGUUGCCGAUUUACUGUUCAAGAUGGCCACCAGGAUAUUUUAUUAAAUAACGGGACCAAUAUUAAUCAAAAUUUGGCCUCAAUCAUUAUUUGGGUAUCUGUUAAGAUUUUUAUCUAUCUUUACAUGAUUUCUAAAACCAAAGUAGAGUCAGGUGAGCGACACAGGCUCUUGAGAGCCUCUAGU